AACAAGGAUUCCCCUAGUAACUGCGAGUGAAGAGGGAAGAGCUCAAAUUUGAAAUCUGGCAGUGUUUUGCUGUCCGAGUUGUAAUCUAGAGAAGUGCUGCCCGUGCUGGACCAUGUACAAGUCUCCUGGAAUGGAGCGUCACAGAGGGUGAGAAUCCCGUCUUUGACAUGGACUGCCAGUGCAUUUGUGGUGUGCUCUCAAAGAGUCGAGUUGUUUGGGAAUGCAGCUCUAAAUGGGUGGUAAACUCCAUCUAAAGCUAAAUAUUGGCGAGAGACCGAUAGCGAACAAGUACCGUGAGGGAAAGAUGAAAAGAACUUUGGAAAGAGAGUUAAACAGUAUGUGAAAUUGUUGAAAGGGAAACGCUUAAAGUCAGUCGUGUCGGCCAGGGAUCAACUCAGUAUUAUCUGCUGGGUGUACUUCCUGAUCUGAUGGGCCAACAUCAGUUUUGACUGCUGGAAAAGGAUAGAGGGAAUGUGGCACCUUUGGGUGUGUUAUAGCUCUCUGUCGGAUGCAGUGGUUGGGACUGAGGAAAGCAGCAUGCCGCAAGGCCGGGUCGUUUCGACCACGUUCAUGCUGAGGAUGUUGGCAUAAUGGCUUUAAUCGACCCGUCUUGAAACACGGACCAAGGAGUCUAACAUGCCUGCGAGUGUUUGGGUGGCAAACCCGAGUGCGGAAUGAAAGUGAAAGGUUGAGAUCCCUGUCAUGGGGAGCAUCGAUGCCCGGACCUGAGCUCUUGCAAAGGAUCUGCGGUAGAGCAUGUAUGUUAGGACCCGAAAGAUGGUGAACUAUGCCUGAAUAGGGUGAAGCCAGAGGAAACUCUGGUGGAGGCUCGUAGCGAUUCUGACGUGCAAAUCGAUCGUCGAAUUUGGGGUAUAGGGGCGAAAGACUAAUCGAACCAUCUAGUAGCUGGUUCCUGCC
rnacentral:rRNA from 1 species